rnacentral:rRNA from 1 species
AAAAUAACCAUGAUUCCCCUAGUAACGGCGAGUGAAGAGGGAAAAGCUCAAAGUUGGAACCUGGCUGUCUUAGAUAGUCCGGAUUGUAAACUAAAGAGCGUGAAUCCAGGCAAGCCGGUUGAUCAAGUCCUUUGGAAUGAGGCGCCACUGAGGGUGAGAGCCCCGUAAAUCGACUGAGCAUUUGUCUUUUGUGUUUCGCGUUCAAAGAGUCAGGUUGUUUGGGAAUGCAGCCUAAAGCUGGUGGUAAAUCCCACCUAAAGCUAAAUACAGGCGAGAGACCGAUAGCGAACAAGUACCGUGAGGGAAAGAUGAAAAGUACUUUGAAAAGAGAGUUAAACAGUAUGUGAAAUUGCCAAGAGGGAAGCAUUUGGAGUUAGACUGACUUGAAGUUAAUCAGCUUGGUCUUUGGACUGGGUGUACUUGACUUCUAUGUCUGCCAAUAGCAGUUAGUCCUGGUGGAAAAAACUGAAGGGAAGGUAGUCCUUCGGGAUGUUUAUAGACCUUUGGAAAAUACACUGGGAUUGACUGAGGAAUGCAGUAGAUGCUAUUAAGGCUUCGUCUAGUAGGUGUUAGGUGAAGGUACUUGGUAUUUUCAGCUUGCUGAUGUGCUAGGUUACUUGAGCUUAAUUGCUUGCUAGAACUGUAAUCUACUUUGGUUAUUGGCUUAAUGACUCUAAAUGGC